rnacentral:rRNA from 1 species
GUAGGGUGCGAGCGUUGUCCGGAUUUAUUGGGCGUAAAGGGCUCGUAGGUGGUUGAUCGCGUCGGAAGUGUAAUCUUGGGGCUUAACCCUGAGCGUGCUUUCGAUACGGGUUGACUUGAGGAAGGUAGGGGAGAAUGGAAUUCCUGGUGGAGCGGUGGAAUGCGCAGAUAUCAGGAGGAACACCAGUGGCGAAGGCGGUUCUCUGGGCCUUUCCUGACGCUGAGGAGCGAAAGGUNGGGGAGCGAACAGGCUUAGAUACCCUGGUAGUCCACGCUGUAAACGGUGGGUACUAGGUGUGGGGUCCAUUCCACGGGUUCCGUGCCGUAGCUAACGCUUUAAGUACCCCGCCUGGGGGGGUACGGCCGCAAGGUUA